AAAAACAUGGCCUUUUGAGUUUUAUUUAAGGUCUAGCCUGCUCAAUGAAUUUUAAAUAGCCGCAGUAUCCUAACUGUGCAAAGGUAGCAUAAUCAUUAGUUUUUUAAUUGAAAGCUGGAAUGAAAGGUUGAAUGAGAAAAUAGCUGUCUCUAUAAAAAUUUAGUAGAAUUUUAUUUUUAAGUUAAAAAGCUUAAAUAUUGAUAAAAGACGAGAAGACCCUAUAGAGUUUUAUACUAAUAAAAAAUUUUUCUUUAAGUAUUUUAAAAUUGAUUUUUUUGCGGUAUUUGGUUGGGGUGAUUAGAAAAUUUAAUAAACUUUUCUUUUUAUAAUACAUUUAUUUAUGAAAAUAUGAUCCUUUAUUUAGAUUAAAAGAUUAAAUUACCUUAGGGAUAACAGCGUAAUUUUUUUUGAGAGUUCUUAUCGAAAAGAAAGAUUGCGACCUCGAUGUUGGAUUAAAAUAAAUUUUUGGUGUAGAAGCUAAAUUAAUUAGGUCUGUUCGACCUUUAAAAUUUUACUUGAUCUGAGUU
rnacentral:rRNA from 1 species